CCUGGUGGCUCAGAUGGUAAAGAAUCUGCCUUCAGUGCAGGAGACCCAGGUUCAAUCCCUGGGUCAGGA
rnacentral:tRNA from 1 species